CGCAGCAGGGGCACGGCUCGGAGAAGCCGACGGUGGCGGAGGAGGACUCGAGCCGCACCUCCGAGAUGUACGCCGUCACCUCGGCAGCUUCCGGCGGGUUCUUGGAAGCCGCUUCCAUCUCUGGUCUCUCUCCCACUUUUGGUAGAUAGGGCGUUCGAUUUCUUGUUCAAAUUGUGGGGAGGGUGGGAACGGAGUCUCUUAUAUGGGGAGGAGACGGCGGUCGAGAUUGUCCGCCUAAGGCAUCGGGCGGCUGAAAUUGCUCUGCAGGUAUUUUCUCUAGCAUGAACAUCCUCCUGAUUGCUGUUCCGUCUGCGAGGCAGUGACGGUGGGCUUCAAGUUGACGUCAACCAUGUCUUCCUGUUUGGACGAAGAAAGAGUCUCCAUCCCUGGUAAGGCUGCAGCAAUCUUGCGGAAGAGAGGCUGCAAUUGUCCAUUUUUAUUUCAACAUUAGUAACCAGGAAGUGAUGUUGGAAAAGAACAUAGUCAAGCAGAUACGAUUCACCUUGAUGUUGAAUCCUGCUUUCGCACUGGUCUCUAUGAACAUGACCCCAAAUUCACGGGCCUUGGCUUCUCCUUCUUCAAUAGAAACUUGCCUGUUAUCAGGGGCAGAAAACAUGGUUGUUUGCAACUGUAAUGGAAUUAUAGCUGAAGAAGAUGCAGGUAAAAUCACAUAGUGUAGGCUAAGGUGAAUCAGCUAGAAAAAGGAUUUCCUAAAAAAAUUAAUAAUCUGAUCGCUGCUUGGCUUUGCAUUUCAAGAAAUUAAGUCCAUAUGCGGCAGCAGACAGUUGGACA